rnacentral:rRNA from 1 species
AUUGAACGCUGGCGGCAGGCCUAACACAUGCCAGUCGAGCGGAUGAAGGGAGCUUGCUCCCGGAUUCAGCGGCGGACGGGUGAGUAAUGCCUAGGAAUCUGCCUGGUAGUGGGGGAUAACGUCCGGAAACGGGCGCUAAUACCGCAUACGUCCUGAGGGAGAAAGUGGGGGAUCUUCGGACCUCACGCUAUCAGAUGAGCCUAGGUCGGAUUAGCUAGUUGGUGGGGUAAAGGCCUACCAAGGCGACGAUCCGUAACUGGUCUGAGAGGAUGAUCAGUCACACUGGAACUGAGACACGGUCCAGACUCCUACGGGAGGCAGCAGUGGGGAAUAUUGGACAAUGGGCGAAAGCCUGAUCCAGCUAUGCCGCGUGUGUGAAGAAGGUCUUCGGAUUGUAAAGCACUUUAAGUUGGGAGGAAGGGCAGUAAGUUAAUACCUUGCUGUUUUGACGUUACCAACAGAAUAAGCACCGGCUAACUUCGUG